UCGUGGCAAACGCGAUUGAGGAGAGGUUGGUGAGCUCCUAAGGAAGGCACAUACUCAGCUUUGCCAUUUGUUGGUUUUAUUCAUGCAGUUUCAGUACUGCUGAAACCAGACUUCAUCCUGUCACUGAUCCCACUCCAGCUGGUUGUGUUCUCCCUGCUGACUCUGAGCCUGUAUAGGUAACAUGGAUUACAUUGAGGAGUUUCUAGAGAUGCUGAUUGAAGAAAUGAUCAGUUUCAGCUAAACCUUGAGUUUGACUUCAAGAUCAUCAAUAUCUCAGCCAUUAUAAUGUACCCUGUUCCCUGACUAAUCAUUAUCCAACUAAACCUGAAACAAUACUACAAGAACGAUGGUCAGAAAACUCACUUCAGUUCUCACAAGCACAACCGGACUCAUUCAGUACAAAUGACUCAUAAUGAUGAACAAGAACUACAGGUCUGUUCACAAACCAGACAUACUCUCACAAGUGUUCAACACAAGCACUUCAUACAAAACUCAGUUAAUCAUGUGAAUAUGCUAAAGCUAUGAGUACCUCCUCUUUUCCAUAUAGCUCAUUCUUCAGUCUUUUUCCCCAGUGAAUGCACACUGUUACUUUCACUCAAAAAAUCUUCUUGUGAAUUAUAAAUUAGUCUAAAUAAUCUCUCAGAUUUACACUGAAGGAAGAGCUGGAGACAUAUCUAGAAAACCGAAUAACUCUUUUGAGCCAGUCAGAAUGCAGCACCCCAUAUGGAUAUCUGAUGUUCAGUAUGGCCAUGUAUGAGCUUAUAUACAAAAUUAUAUCAAAAGCUUGAACAUACAAUUACAUUAAGAGCAAGUGCUGUGUACAGGUUGAGCUUUAUAUACUGACAGAAUUGUUCUUUAACUACAGUACCUGUCACAAGCACACAUAGAUCAGAAAAACAGGCUGAAUAACCUGGAGCCACAACAGCAGUUCAUAAACUGCCCAUCCUUCAACUCCAAAUCUGAUCGCUUAUUUUUAAUAUUGGUGUUUUUUUUAUAUAUUCUAGUUUCACAUGCCCAAUUUUUUUUUUACUUGCAUGUGACAUCGUGAAGUAAUUUACAAGAAAAUAAUUUUCAACAUUUACAAGGAAUGUUUUGCAUAUUAACCCUUUGUUGGGCACUCAUUGAAAUACCUCAGAAUCAUGGAGUGCUACUGAGGGUUUACAAGACUUUGUUACUAUACAUGGUUCCUUGCUUGAUAAAGCUAAUAAAUAAUUCAUUCACAUUAAAUUCAAUUAUUUUAAAAUAAAGUCAAGAUGUUCACCAGCCCACCCAAACACUCAUGCUGUCCAAAAGCCUUUUUGACAUUUUCUUUUAUGUAGUGUCUGUGUCAAUAAACCAAGGCCAAAUCUGCCUCCAUGCAAUGCCU